rnacentral:lncRNA from 10 species
GUGGAAGGAGCGCGCUGAGGAGCGGGGCCUUGAAGGGAGACCGUUGAGCUGGGGCGUCCCUCGAGCUGAGCACCUCGCUAAAGUCCGGGAGAAGACCCUGAGGCGGGGUUCUGAGGAGGUAGCCUUGAGUCGGGGGAGGGGCGAUGAGCAGAGGUGGCUGACUUUGGCGAUAGGUCUUGGUCGCGAGGGUUGCAGAUGGAGCCUUGGCUUAGAAGGUCGAAUCCGGGCCCGUUUCCCCCCGCCCCCGCUGCCCAUGGCUUCUCUUUUCACCUCCAGGUUUUCAUGCUGGCUUCAGAGUUUGGCCGUGCUCCCUCAGCGUUCCUAAUUUCCCACUUUCUGACUCUCACCAUUUGCCACUCUUGUCUGUGAUUGAGACACCCGAGGCCCAUUCAGGAUGGAGAGUAAUUUUUUCUCUGUCUUAACUUGAAGUUUUAAAUAGACCACAGACGCCAAGUAUAUUUUGGUUCAGCUUUUAAAUAGAAGUCGCAGGCCAGCCUUCGUGCCAGCAGCGCCAUCGCUGGCAGCAUCCUCCUCCUCCCCUCACGCGGAGACUGACUUGGGGAGAGUCAGGAAACAUUUGAGAGAGCAGCUGCCGAGGUGGAGGCUGUGAUGUAUCUUGGAUGAAUCUCUGUGCAAACAGUUCUUUGGGUUCAAGACCUAGUACAGGGCGAUCCUUUUUGUUUUUUCUGUCUGAAUCAUUUUGGUGGAAUAAAUAGCAAAACAUUCCCACAAUAGCAGUUGGCAUUUUGUGUAGGACGCACCCCCCCAACAGGUGGAUUGUUUUAAGAGCCAACAAAUAACUGCCAUUGUGCUUCCAAAUCUGUUAUUUUCCCCCAAACACAGUCGUCCUUGUUAUAUGGAGAUGAAUGCCCAUUUGGGGGAGGAACUGGAUAGUGGUGAAAGGCUUUCGCUCUGAGGCCUCACCUAAAUAAUUAUGGGAACUUUUGAGCAACUCGUUAGGUGAAGACAUCAACAGUCUACAGAAGAGCUGCAAAGAGCACAGCAAGAUGAUUUAGGGAAAUAUAACAUAUGUAGUUUGGUGUAGUGACAGCUGGGAGAGAGAAAUGUUCAUAAUAUUUGAAGGUUGUGUGCAGUACACUUAAAAAAACUAAAAUGAGCUGGGUAAUGACAAAUUCAUGAAGGGAGGAGAAAAAUCUUAUCUGGGUAUCAUAUCGAUGGUUAGAGACAACUUUUAAGAUAUUUAAAACAACAACAAACUCUAGGACAGUUAAAAAGUGCACAUGAAGACUUUCCACUAAAAUCGGAACCAAAAAAAUUGUCUUUCGUAUCAUACAAAAACUCUGAAUAUCAUGAAGGUGGCAUUUCACAUCAGUGGAGAAAUGAUGAAUUCAGUGAAUAGUGUUAGAACAACUAGGUAACCAUCUGGAAGAAAAAUAAAAUUGGAACCACACUUUACACAUUAUACCAAAAUAAAUUCCAGACAGAUCAAAAAAUUAAAUCUGAACAAUAAAAUAAUAAAAGUACUAGAAGAAAAUAUGGGAUAUUUAAAAUUACUUUGUAAUAAGAAACAUCUUUUUAAGUAUGCUACAAAACUCAGAAGCCAUGAAAGAUUGUUAAGUAUGCUUAUAUUUAAAAAAAUAUAUCCUGCAUGGCAAAAUGGUACUUUCCUAUCCACAAUAUAGAACAUGGCAAACCAGAGCUUUUGUGUCAAUUAUUAACUGGAUAAUAUAGCUUGCCUAAUUUUUCAAAUCCUUCAGGAAGUCCACAAUUUCUCUACACAAUUUUAAAAUUUUGUGUCUUUUUAUGAUAUUUUUAGAAAUAAAAAAAUAGGCAGUGGGAUUAUAGUUAAGACCUGAAUUUUAAACUAUUACACUUUACUGCCCCUCCGUGGACAGUCACCUUAUAACCAAAUAGAGGCACAGGAUUCCAGCGCGUAUAGUUGGGCUUCUACAAAGUGAUGCUUGCUGAUACAUAUUCUUGAAAUUUCAAGAGCUUGAAUUUGAGAAAUGCUUUAGUAGAGAACUAAAGAAUGAAGGCUCAUCACGUACAAAUUUCACUGGGUAGAAUUCCCCUUAAAAAUAUUUGUUUGUUUUGUUUUGCUUUUUGUUUUUGAGUCAGGGUCUCCCUCUGUCACCCAGGCUAGAGUACAGUGGUAAGUAAGAUCUUGGCUCACAGCAGCCUCAAUCUCCCGGGCUCAAGCGAUCCUCCCACCUCAGCCUCCUGAGUAGCUGGCACUACAGGCACAAGCCACCACACCCAGCUAAUUUUUUGGUAUUUUUUUUGUAGAGAUGUGAUUUCACCAUGUUGCCCUGGUCUCAAACUUCUGGGCUCAAGUGAUCCUCCCAUCUCAGCCUCCCAGAGUGCUGGGCUUACAGGCGUGAGCCACUGCAUCCAGCAGUGUUCCAUUUCUUUAUCUCCAAUUUCAAAUAAUUUCCCUUUAAGAAUAAGGUACUUGUAGCCUAUUGCUGAGACCUGUACCUCUUAGUGGCUCUUCCCCUGGCUACAUAAAGGUUUAAAAUGACUGCUGUUUGUAAAGAGUCGAUUAAAAUUUUAACCUAGGGUCUUACAUUAUUCACCUCCAGUUACAAGAAGGAAUACGGGGUACCAUAGGAACACAUGGGAGGGACAUCUUAUUCAGUUUGUGGGUAAGUGGGGAACAUGGCAUUUAGAGGCUGACACCCAUGAGUAAUUCAUUAGUCAGGUAAUAAGAGGGAACCAGUACUAACUUAAGAGAGUGCAUUUAGCUGGAGCUCAAUACUUAUUUGUAGAAUGAAUGACUAGUAAAACACCUCUUACAUUCGCCAAACUUUCUCUUUUUUUCUCAGUAUUCUAGUUCCAUCAAUCUUGUCAUGCUUUUUUUCUUACACUUCUAGUUUAUAUAGACAUUUCAAAUACUGUGUUUCUUGCCUCAGCAGAGGGAAUAUUCUGAAAGAUACUAAUUCUGCAGUGUGUGGAUUUGCAUUAACCUAAAGGGGUUUAGUAUAGAUUUACUGGAAAGAAAAAAAAUCUGUAGGAUUAUGAACCAAAAAAUAAAAAACCAAAGUUCCCAUCUUUAUUCAAAGCAUUGAUUAGCAAAAAUAAAAGGC